UUCUCUGUAGAGUUCCCUUUGAAUCCACCUCUGAGACUGGUCUUCCCAUAGACACAUAAUAUCACAUUACUGAUUCUCUUCCAGGAAUGAAAUAUUUAUAAUUUAGAUGUUUUAUUUCCUAGUUUUAGGUGAUUGUGCUGAUAGAUACAUGCAAUGUAUUAGAUUUCAUCCUUUGUCUUUACUGAGGAAAGUUUCUUGCUGACAGACACAGGAGUGGAAAUCAAAUAAGCAGCGCCGUACAGAGUGCUUUGAGAAGUGAAGAGGGACUCUAGGUUUUAGAAGUUGUGGUUCCAGGGUGUGUGUCUCAUACACUGCAUGCAUUUCCAUAUUCCCUAGACCUAAGACUCCCAGUUUAUCUCUGAGCUGCUAAAUGGUGGUACGUGAAAAUACAAGCUUCUCUCUCUCUAAAUGCUCACCAGUUUCUAGGAGUAGGAGAAAUGACAUUGCAUUUAAAAGGAGGAUUCUGGGAACCAAGGAUACGUUGAAUUUUGGGAAUAUGUAACCUGCAAAAUUAAACUUUGUAGAUACAAAGAGGCUGCUCAUAUUCUCCAUUACACCUUUUGUUGCAUACAAUGAAUAAGCAAGGUGGUCCUUUAAAUCAGAGGUAUUACACUUUACAAUGAUAUUUAAGAAUGCUCUUGUGUCUUCAUUCCUUUGUAAAAACAAAAACAAAAAGGAAAGUUAUUAAAUGUUGACCAUGGAAAAAUCAAUCUUUCAGGAAGGGGUUGUGAAUACAUUUUUUUUUUUUCCAG